GUCAUAUGCUUGUCUCAAAGAUUAAGCCAUGCAUGUCUAAGUAUAAACUAACGUUUACUGUAAAACUGCGAACGGCUCAUUACAACAGUCAUAAUUCACUUGAUUGUGAAAGGAGGUUUAUUCAGCCACCAUUAAAUGGAUAACCGUAGUAAUUCUAAGGCUAAUACAUGCUAAAAUCCUUUAAGGAGGAGUAUUUAUUGGAAAAUAUCUUUUUAUACCAUUUUUUGUGUGUGAAUAACAAUAUAACUUAUACUAAUCGUAGAGACACCUUGUGUGUUGACGAUGAUACAAACAAGUUUCUGCCCUAUCAACUUGACGUUUGUGUAUGGGACAAACGUAGUGAUAACGGGUACGGGGAAUCAGGGUUCGAUUCCGGAGAGGGAGCCUGAGAAAUGGCUACCACUUCCAAGGAAGGCAGCAGG
rnacentral:rRNA from 1 species